rnacentral:rRNA from 1 species
CCUACGGGUGGCAGCAGUGAGGAAUAUUGGUCAAUGGGCGGGAGCCUGAACCAGCCAAGCCGCGUGAGGGAAGAAGGUACAGCGUAUCGUAAACCUCUUUUGUCAGGGACGAUAAUGACGGUACCUGAGGAGGAAGCCACGGCUAACUACGUGCCAGCAGCCGCGGUAAUACGGAGGUGGCGCGCGUUGUCCGGAUUUACUGGGCGUAAAGGGAGCGUAGGCGGACUUUUAAGUGAGAUGUGAAAUACUCGGGCUCAACUUGAGUGCUGCAUUUCAAACUGGAAGUGUAGAGUGCAGGAGAGGAGGAUUGAAUUCCUGGUGUAGCGGUGAAAUGCGGAGAGAUUAGGAAGAACACCGAUGGCGAAGGCGAUUCUCUGGACUGUAACUGACGCUGAGGCUCGAAAGCGUGGGGAGCAAACAGGAUUAGAUACCCCUGUAGUC